AACAUUGAAUUUAUAAGAAUAAGGAUUAAGAUGUUUCAGAGAAGGCAAAAGAGAAAAGUAAAAUAAUUAAAAUGCACUAAGUUCUAAUAAAGUUGUCUUAGAAAUAAUAGCAACAAAAAUUAAAGACCGCUAUACCAAUUAUCUUAACAUCUCAUUCUGAUUAUCACUUAUUAACCAUGGCAGUCACUUAACCAUCUUGCCUUCAGUUUUCUCUCAUCUAUUAAUCUUAAUAAAAUAUUAAUAUGCAUAGUACAUAGUUAGAAACAUCAAUGGCAUAAUGUGUAAAAAUACUUUAAACAAUAAAGAAACCAUAUUUGAAUUAUUAUAAACUAUAUAUUGAUUAUAAGUAUAAUAAUGAGAUUGGGGAAAUGUACUUUUAAUAUUCCACAAAAUGACUUAUUAGUGCAAAAAUGAGUUAUCACCAUAGUAUUUUGUUCACUACCUGAUUCACUUUAUUAUAACAAACUUUUAUAUUUAAAUCUUUCAGGAGUUUCCUUGGCGGCUCAGCAGAUACGAAUUUGACUAGUAUCCAUGAGGAUGCAGGUCUGAUUCCUGGCCUCGCUCAGUGGGUUAAGGAUUCAGUAUUGCUAUGAAAUAUGGUGUAGGUUAUAGAUGGGGCUUGGAUUUGGUGUUGCUGUCUGUGGCUGUGGCCAGCGGCUACAGGCUACAGCUCCAAUUUCACCUCUAGCCUGGGAACCUCCAUAUGCCACAGGUAUGGUCCUAAAAAAAGAAAAAUUAAAUCUUUCAACUUUUCUCUAAAUUUGAUUUAUUUUUCUUGUUUUAUGAUUCAAACAUUUAUUAACUCCCUUACCCAACAUUUUCAAAUAAUUUAAAAUCAAAUACAUAUUGGGAGUUCCCUUUGUGGCUCAAGAGAAUGAACCCAACUAGGAUUCAUGAGAAUGUGGGUUCAAUCCCUGGCCUCGAUCAGUGGGUUAAGGAACUGGUGUUGCAGUGAGCUGUGGUGUAGAUCACAGACAGCUUGGAUCCUAUAUUGCUGUGGCUGUGGCAUAGGCCAGCAGCUGCAGCUGUGAUUCAACCUCUAGCCUGGGAACUUCCAUACACUGCAGGAGUGGCUCUAAAAAGGAAAAAAAAAAAAAAAAUAUAUUUAUUAAAUCCCGAAUGUGUACAAGGCACUAUGUCAUAUCCCUUUACUAAGAGGGUCAUCCAACUGUGGACUGACAAGGCCCUUUCCUUUCUUCAUUUUUCCUCUUGGAUUUCCAUUUAGUUUAACUGGUAACUUACCUGAGAUUCCCUCUACUCCUAACUACUUAAAAAAGAAGACAAGAAACGAAAUUUAUUCAUCUCCUAUUAUGCACUUGGCACUAUAUUUAUAUUUACAUUAUCUCAGUCAAUCCUCACAAGAACCAUAGGAAACAGGCAUUCACAUCACCUUUUAGAAAUAAAAAAGAUAAGAACCACAGCAGAGUAAAAAUUUAAAGCAGGUCUGCUGACUCCAAAGCCUAUGGUCCAUCCACUACAUCAGUACUCUCCAGACUUUCAGAUUUCACAAGACAAAACAAGAUGCACACACACACACACACACACACACACACACACACACACACACACACACAAGUGUAUUAUUUUAUAAAACAAAAGCAUAUUAACAUAAAAAAGGAAAAGAAAGACAAUCUCAAAAUAAGAAACAAGCCUUCUGAAGAAGGCAUAGUUGACAACCUCUCACUGAUAUUUUCACCACAGAGCGGGUCCUCCAACUGGCAAAUGAGAACAAAUGCACUGAAGCAGACUGUUUCCCGUAAGAAAGAAGCAGAAUAGAGAACCUAAAAUACUGCCCUGCUUAUUUUUCCUAAUUUCAAUACAAAAGUGACAAGAAUGCAUGUUGCCUUAACUAAAGCCAUGGGCUUUCCUCAAAGUUCUACAUGCCAAGGCUCUGAGGACAACGAAAAUUAGAGGCUUAAAAAAUAAGUCAAAGCAUCUUCUGGUAUGAAGAGGUCAACUUAUUCAUUAUUAUCAUGCAUUUUCACAGACAGCAGACAUCUUUAGGCUUUUCCUUCGAAAAACAAAAAUCUGUGUAUCUGAUGUCAUCAGAAGAGUGGUUCAAGAAUUCAGAUCUAUUACCUCACACCUCAGAGAUUCAUCCACCUUCACUUGUGUUCCUGGCUUUCCAGCCUUAUCUAUUAUAAUUAAGAAGAGCAAGGACAUUGUCUGCCUCAAAUUUUGAUGCAGGAUCUGAUAUUAGGAUGCUAUGUUACUAUCUAAGAGUCAAUACACAGUAAAUCUAUAAGCUCAUUGCCAAUGCCAGAAAAAGUGUAAAAUAUUACUAAGUAAAUUUGAGCUAAAUUUUCAGAAUAAAUUUACAUUUUUAAAAACACAGUUUGUCCUCCAACAAUAACCAACAAGAAAAGUCAUAAAAAUUUUUAAACACAUAUAAUCUAAAUAUUACAGUCUCAUCCACAGCUCUGUUUCUAAUUUCAUCUACUAGAUAGGCAAAAGAUGGGAUCAAGGGUCUAGGGAGAGAAGCAGACAGACAGAAAACAACUUGCUAUUUGCUCUCCAUUGGCACUUGGAACUGACCUCUAUAGUUCAUUACCAUUUAUGGGUAUCCCGUGUAUGAGGUAUCUCAUCAUGUACUUUACCGCCUCCAAUCCCUGCUUCAUCACUACUCCAUCCUGAACUGCCUUAAAGUCUUAAGAAUGGAUCAUGCUCACUAGAUACCUGAAGCUUCUAAAUGACUGCUUGGAAAUAAAGUUCGUAGUUUUAUGAAAUAACUCUUUUAGGGCAAUAUAUUUGGCAAAUCCUCUCUUUUAAGGAUUAAAUAGUACCCUGGUUGAUCUACUACAUUUUAUACGGUACAGCUAGGUUAUGUAUUUCCACUGCUCAAAGAUUAAAAAAUACAAAUAAGAAGCCCUGAUUCUGUCAAUGAUCCCCUUGAAGGUCAUGAUACAACAUUACUGGAAUAGUCUACCCAUGCUAUAAAUGAAAUGCCUUUUUUUUUUUUUAAAGCUACAAAGGAGGUAAAUAAAGUACCUUUCAGGGCAAUAUAUUUAGGUUUUAAUCUUACUGAAUGUAGUCAUUGUAUAUACACUUCCCUUUACUCAGACUAUCCACUGUUAUUUUAAUCAUUUUUUAAGGCCUAAUUCAAAUACGUAUUUCACUGUGGAUAUUUCCCUAUUAAUCUAUAUAAAUUCAAUACCACAUACUGUAUGCUCACACUGCAUAGUGAAUAAGCCUUCAAUAUUCAUCACCAUUUAUAAGCUUCUAAUAUGUAGGCACCUAAGGUGCUAAACUCAUUGUUUCCAAGUCUUUCUCCCUCACAUCACUGUAAGUCUGUCCACAGGAGCCUUAACAAGAGUUUUUUACAGUCAGCACCUAUCACAGAACUUCAUAAUAAUAGGCUUUGAACAAAUGUUCAUACUUUAUUAAGAAUACAUUUUAGGAGUACUACUCAGGAAUAAAAAAGAAUGAAAUACUCUGAUUUGUAGCAAACUGGAUAGAGAAUAUUAUCCUCAGUGAAGUAAGUCAGAGAAAGACAAAUGCUGUAUGAUACCACUUAUAUAUGGAAAUCUAAAAAACAAUACAAAUGAAUAUAUCUGCAAAACAGAAAGACUCACAGAUACAGAAACAAACUGCUGGUUACCAAAGGGGAGAGCAAAGUAAGGUGGGAUAAAUUAGGGAUAUGAGAUUAACAGAUAUAAACUACUAUAUAUAAAAUAGAUAAGCAACAAGGAUUUACUGUAUAGUACAGGGGAUUAUACCCAUUAUCUUGUCAUGACCUAUAGUGGACUAGGAGUUCCUGUCAUGGCUCAGUGGUUAACGAAUCCGACUAGAACCAUGCGGUUGUGGGUUCAAUCCCUGGCCUCGCUCAGUGGGUUAAGGAUCCAGCGUUGCUGUGAGCUGUGAUGUAGGUUGCAGACAUGACUCAGAUCCCACGUUGUUACUGUGGCUCUGGCGUAGGCCUGUGGCUACAGCUCCAAUUAGACCCCUAGCCUGUGAACCUCCAUAUGCUGCAGGUGCGGCCCUAGAAAAAGACAAAAUAAUAAUAAUCAUAACAAAAAUACUGAAUCACUAAGCUGUACACCUGAAACUAACAUAAUAUUGUAAAUCAACUAUACUUCAAUAAAAAAAGAGUGCACAUUUUAACAGAAACAUAAAAUUGUAUUUGCCCAAAAUAUAAGAACUAUAAUUUGUUCAGAAUCUUUAAGUUUUAUAUUCUAAUGCAAAAUUUGAUGCUUGAUUGUCCUCAAUAAGUAAAACUGAUAUAGACAUUUGCUCGGCAACCGUAUGUUUUCCACAUAUCAAUAUUCAUUUCUGACUUUUUUUCCAUUUUACAUAGAACAUCAAUUGCUGAAAUAAUUUUGUCUCUAAAUCAGGAGUUAUUCAUUGAAUGCUUUAUUACAAUGGAGUCAAACAGACCUGUGUUCAAAUCUCAGCUCAAUUACUUACUCGCCAUAUGAUCUUGCUAAGUUUCUUCAUUUAUAGAAUGGAGAUAAUAUAUGGUAUCUUGUUUCACAGGUUACUGUGAAAAGUAAAUCAGAUAAUAUAUUUUAAGCAAUGGCACAUAGUACUAAACACUCAGUAAACAGGCAGCUGUUGUACCCAUGAUAUAGACUUAGCUCUAACCCUGCAAUAAUUACAGUCCUGUUUUAAACCAGUUGUACUUAAACAGAUGUGUCUAAAGAAGAACUCAAAAAAAAAAAAAAAUACUUGUGGGAGUUCCUUUCGUGGCUCAGUGGUUAACGAACCCAACUAGGAUCCAUGAGGAUGUAGGUUCAAUCCCUGGCUUUAGUCAGUAGGUUAAGGAUCCGGUUUUGCUGUGAGCUGUGGUGUAGGUCACAGAUGCGACUCAGAACCUGUGUUACUGUGGCUAUGGCAUAAGCUGGCAGCUGUAGCUCCAAUUCAACUCCUAGCCUGUGAACUUCCAUA
rnacentral:lncRNA from 1 species